GCAACGGGGUCGCAGCAGCGCACAGUGCGCGGGAACCCUGCUUUCCCGAGGCAGUAUGAAGAGUCAAAACUAUGCAAACGCAUCACCUCCGAGAUCACGCCCCAGAGAAGGGACUCUGAUCGUUCGACGGUCCCGCCCCAGAGAAGCUCACUAGCCCGGGGAGGAGGCGCGGCCGGGCAGCCGGAGUCGGGGAGCGUGGCUGGAGGACGGGCCCGAACAAGGUCACAGAAGGCAGUGGAGCCUGCAGGGCCCGCCGCCGCCCCAGGCUCGCCCCCUGGACGCCGGGAUGCGGGGCGGACUCCCCGCGGGCGCCUCUGGCUCAGAAAGGGGCUCGUGGGCAGCAGCCCAGGCAGGGGCGGCCGGGGGUCACGAAGGCCGGUCGCCCACCCCGCCCGGGCGCAGCCCCUCCUGCACCGUCACGAAGUGAAGUCUUCCACAGGCGGCGGACGGGGAGAGGCGGCCCCGGGAAGCGGCGGGCUCGCGGGCAGGCGCAGGCGCAGACCGGCAGGGAGUCCGCGCGGGGAGCCCGACCCACCGCCCCCGCCCGCCGGCCACGCGGCCGCCGCCCGAGCAGCGCCCACGCCAGGCGCCCCGGGCCUCCGCACGCCGCUCGCGCCCCCGACCCCCGCGGGAGGCAGGGCAGCGCGGGGCCCGCAGCGCCGGGGGCCGGAGGACGCGGGGCUCGGCCGGCGGCGCCUCCGCGCAGGGCCGAGGAGCAGGCCCGCCGCCUACACCCGAGUCCACGCCCGGCGCGCCCACUCACCCUCCCCGUGGACCGCCCGAGGCUCCAGACGCGCGACAAAACCGGAAGUGGGCCUCCGACGCUCGCUCCCGCCCCGUCCCACCGACUUCCGGCCGCUCUGGGCCGCUCGGAGGUUCAGCGCCCUCGGUGAUCCCCGGCCCGGGCGCCGGGAAGGGGCGGGGCCAGAGCGCCGGGGAGAGGCGGGCGGGGCGGGGCCGGGGCGGGCCCGGGGCGGGGUCAGCAGCCGGGGAGCGGCGGGCCCGGCGUCCCCAGCCCCGAGAGGUGCAGGGCUCGCAGCCCCGGGGCGGAGGGGGCUCGGGGAGGGGACAGAGAAGCCGAGCGGAGACGACGGGUGUCCUCCGGGAGGGGGGCACCCGGUCCAGGCAGGGGGCACCGCCGGGUUGCGGAGGGUGAGGCGCCCCGGAGGCUGGAAGGGCGGGGCGGAGAAUGCGCAGGACUUCUCCGGGGAGACGGACCUAAACCUCCGAGUCGCCGGUGACCCAAGUCCUGGGGUCGCCGAGAACCGCGGGGAAAUCUGGCGCUGCCCGGGGAAGGAAGUGGCGGGGUGGGCCCGGCCCUCCACCCCACGGCCGUCCUGCGGACUACCACCCCACCCCACCCCACCCCGCCCCCGGGCCCCUGGGAGACCCUCUCCCCUCCCCGGCCUCGGGGUCUGA
rnacentral:lncRNA from 1 species